rfam:Botryotinia fuckeliana BcDW1 unplaced genomic scaffold Scaffold_348, whole genome shotgun sequence.
GGACAGAUGGCCGAGUGGUUAUGGCGUGUGACUCAAGCUUAAUAGCUUAGUUGAUUCAAUCAACUAGCAUUCUCAUGGGCUUAGCCCGCGGGGGUUCGAAUCCCCCUCUGUUCA